GUCUUUACAAAAUUAUAAUUGAAGCCAUGCACAAGUCUGAAGAUCUACCGAAAAAUAAAUUUGAAUCACCCCAACUCCUAUGAACAAAAGUCAUCAUUAUUAAAAGCUUAUUUGAUCACAGAAACUUAAAAUUUAUUUGUUUUGGUGUUUUUUUAUUUAUUAUAUUUUAAGCUGUUUAGUGCUCAGAUAAAGACUACGCAACAAAUUUAAAUAAUUGCAUUUUUUAAGUGAUACACACUAUAAAGUAUUUUGUUUUUAUGUUAUUGUUUUUUUCUGUUUUUUAAUAGUAAAGUUCUUGCCAAUCUUCUUUUUCUCAUCUGAAGAUAACAGAUGUAAAUUUAGAUAAACUUUUGUCCAUCGGCCCAGUUAGUUUGGGUAUGGAUGUAACAUGCUUAUUUGGUGCAUUUAUAUAUAAAAUAUAAAAGAAAACCGGUGUAUAUUGUUAUAUUUGUCUUUUUCAGAAAAUAUUUAAUUGAUGUUUUUAAAACAGUGCCAUUUGAUUACAUUCCUACAUAAUUUUAGUUUGGUUUUUUUUCAAAUACCUUUGAUGCCUUUAAGAAACCAAAAAUUAGUUUAGGAAACGUAGAUCUGUAUAUAUGUAUCAGUUGUUUGUUAAAAUCUGUUCAAACUGAACCCUUUAAAGUAUAAAAAAAAUUGCCUGAAGUUAAGAAAGGGUCUUGUGGGUGCAGUUUAGAUAGGUUUUCACUCACUGUAAAAGAAACUUUUUGAAUUUUUUGUUGAGAUAAGAAUAUAUAUUUACAAAUAUUGAAGAGUGAAAACAAGUUCAUCCUCUAAACAUUUGUUAACUGAGGGGAAAAUGUGUAAAUCUGAUUUUAAUAUAUGGUUAAAUGAGAUCCUUUGAUACAUAUUUUACAGAAAGAGAAAAUACAAUAAAAUUGAGGAAUGCAUUGAAAGAUUACCUGAAAUUUCUCCCCCUUUUGAGCUAAGUUGGUGAAAAUUUUAAUCUUACUUAGUUACAAAAAAAUCAGCACAAUAGAAUCCACCUAUUUUGUAUUUGAAAUUUGUUAAAAAAAAGUUAAAAAAAGUAAAAAUAAGAAGAUAAAUCAUAUAAUAUUAUUAAUCUGGAUGAAAAGUGUUCCUCUUUUUAAAUUUACACAUUUCUUUAAAGACCUAGACUGCUUGGUUUAUGCUAUUUUACAUCAAAGGUGGCAGAAGACACCAAAUGAUGGCCAAUCUACUAAAAAAAUAAUAGUUGUUUUUUGGGGGUAGAAGAGAACGAUUUUCACCAAAAAAAUAUUACCGGUACAUGAAUUGGUAAAUAAUCUUUGCUCAAAUUUGAUUUGUCGGAUCAUUAUCUUAUUGACCUCUCUUUUAUCCAUUAUUGAAAUCAGAUUAGCAUAUUGAAUGUUAUUGAAAUAUAUGAAAGUUUUGGUUGAUAUUUUUAAAGGUUAUGGUUAUAUUUUGACAAUUAAUACAUACGUUUAUUCAUUAAUUACUAAAUUGUAGUGUUAACGCUUUGCUUUUGUUGUAGUUUGUCAAUAAAUUCUUUAAAAAGUAUUUGUUUUUGUCUUAUUCAAAUCUAUAUGUGUAAGAAGGUAUUGGUAGAGAGGCGUUUGGUUUAAAUAAAUCUGGUUGUGAAGAAAUGAGCAAGGG
rnacentral:lncRNA from 1 species